GCCAGAUGAUGCACUAACUGAUUGAGCUAUGUGCAGUGAUAACUCCUAUCUAUCACCCAUAAUACUGAUGGCU